CUGACUACCAGUAGGGAAGAUCUCUUUCUGGAGAUUCUUCUUUUGGAGUUUUACAGCAAGUCCAGGACAAGAGUGCCAUUGUUCCUCUGGAUGGCAGCUCUGUCUCUUGCAGAAGCAACAUCAAUUGUGUAAGUCGAUCCAUUCCAGUAUGAUUUGCAAGCUUGUUGAGUAUGCAACAUGUUAUGUCAUACAGACUGUUCACUGAUACAUUAAAUUGAAGAUUAAAGAGA